rnacentral:lncRNA from 1 species
GUGAUGACAAAUGGGCUAAAGCCCAAAUAACUGUUUUAAUAUUCUAGGCUCUUGCCCAAUAACUUGACCCUGAUCCACCCCGGCCCAAAGGUAGAUAAAAACGUGUUUUUUGGCGUGGCGUUUUUAACGCAGCCAAUAAACACGUUUUCUUCAGAUUACUGAAAACCCCCUGAUCGUUGGAUUAAAAUCUGAUCUAUGGUUGCCUUGGUUGGAUAUAUAUACUUCCACCUCUUGCCCUAAUUCAACUGGACCGUCAUUUUACUUCUCUCUUCAGCUGCGGCUGUGCUUCGAGAUCCUUCUAAACCCUUCCUUCUUCGUGACCAUCCAAUCUCUAAUUGGAUCUGAAAUCUGAGUGAUUCUUUCUUUGUGAUACUAAAUACUAAGUGUAUUGGAGGGAUUGGUGUGUGAUUUACCCUUGUGGUUUCCUUUAAUCUGAUAGAGGAAAACCUUAGGGUUUGGGACGAUUCGUGUGGGUUAUACAGACGGGUACAAUUCUAUAUUUUCUUGAGUCUGAGCCCCAUAGAUGAAAGGACCUUCAUCUGGAUGCCGUGUGCUUCGAGUUUCAGUGAACGGCUGAGGAUUUGUUCUUCUGCUAUUUUUCUUGUAAUAUUUUUCUUGUUUAUUUUCUGAUUUUGUACUGAUAUCUUGGUGUAACAAUAAUAGUUCACAAAAAAACAUGUAAAAUAUGUUAUGCACCAUGGCCUCUGAAUGAUGUAUAUCUAUGCCCAAAAUUUACGAAAUUUCAG